ACGCAAGUUUAACAGAUAGAGCUAAGGGGAAGGUACUGAGUGCAGAAUAUAGAUUUCAGCAUUGUAGUUCAUCAAUUCCAUAGACAAAGUCCAAUGUCUGCAAUGGGAUAGAGGUGAAUUGGACAGAACCUUGACUUAUGGAAGAACCGUUCAGAAGUCUAAUAACAGAGGGGAAGAUGCUGUU